GAUCCUUGGAUUCGUUCAAGGUGAAAGUGGCGAACGGGUGAGUAACGCGUUGGUGAUCUGCCCCGGAGUGGGGGAUAACUAUCGGAAACGAUAGCUAAUACCCCAGAUGUUAUCGUGUUUGGAAAGCGAUAACUAAAGUUCAGGCGCUCCGGGAGGAGCCUGCGUCCCAUCAGCUAGUUGGUAGGGUAAUGGCCUACCAAGGCUCAGACGGGUAGGGGGCGUGAGAGCGUGGCCCCCCACACUGGUACUGACACACGGACCAGAUGCCUACGGGCAGCAGCAGCUAGGAAUAUUGGGCAAUGGGCGAAAGCCUGACCCAGCAACACCGCGUGAAGGACGACGGCCUUCGGGUUGUAAACUUCUUUUCGAGGGAAUGAGAAAGGACAGUACCCUCGGAAUAAGGCCCGGCUAACUACGUGCCAGCAGCCGCGGUAAUACGUAGGGGCCAAGCGUUAUCCGGAUUUACUGGGCGUAAAGCGCAUGUAGGCGGUUGAUCAAGUCGGAUGUGAAAGCUCCUGGCUUAACUGGGAGAGGUCAUUCGAAACUAGUCGGCUGGAGGGUGGUAGAGGAGAGCGGAAUUCCAGGUGUAGCGGUGAAAUGCGUAGAUAUCUGGAGGAACACCAGUGGCGAAAGCGGCUCUCUGGACCAUUCCUGACGCUGAGAUGCGAAAGCCAGGGGAGAGAACGGGAUUAGAAACCCCGGUAUUCCUGGCCGUAAACGAUGUCAACUAGGCGUAGGAGGUUAUUAACCCCUUCUGUGCUGUAGCUAACGCGUUAAGUUGACCGCCUGGGGACUACGGCCGCAAGGCUAAAACUCAAAGGAAUUGACGGGUCCCCGCACAAGCAGCGGAGCGUGUGGUUUAAUUCGAGGCUACACGAAGAACCUUACCAGGG
rnacentral:rRNA from 1 species